UACGGAGGGUGCAAGCGUUGUCCGGAAUCACUGGGCGUAAAGGGCGCGUAGGCGGCUCAUGAAGGCUGUGGUGAAAGUCCGGGGCUCAACCUCGGAUCGGCCGUGGCGACUCGUGGGCUGGAGCACUGUAGAGGCGGGUGGAAUUCCGGGUGUAGCGGUGGAAUGCGUAGAGAUCCGGAAGAACACCAGUGGCGAAGGCGGUCUGCUGGGCCAAGACUGACGCUGAGGCGCGACAGCGUGGGGAGCAAACAGG
rnacentral:rRNA from 1 species